AAUUUUAAGAAAUUUUAAGUCAAUUACAAGUUCGGUGAAAGACUUAGAUCACAACCUUCAGACGCCAAAUACGAAUUUCACGAAAAACUGUAGAGGGAAGUACGGCGGCUUUAAGUCCGACACAAAUCUGAGUCUUUACGCGAAUCACAAUAAAAGCACCAAUGCGUCAUGUAAACGAGUAGGAAAAACAUGACCGGAUUUAAUGUCACGAUGCCUCCAAAUGAGCCAGAUGUUGUAAAACAAUGAAACCAGGACAAUCUUGAGCUGCAUCUCAUGGAGAAAGUUGAACAUCUCGAUUUACAUGUCUAUCACGAAAAAGGAGAGUGAAAUGUGGCAAGUUGGACUAGAUGCAACAUGCUACUUUGUAAGUUAACAAGUCAAAUCACACCUUACUUCCGGUGUCGAUCACACCAGGAACGAGCAGCAGGAGGCGGAAUGAACCUCAUCGUCGCAAUGUUGACUUUCCUACUUGACGUUUCUCUCUCACAGACGGACGGAGGAUUAAAAACGUUGGCUGAAUCCAACUCUGGACAAAAUUUGGUAUCUUCGUCCCUCGAGAGAAUUGUGCUGAACUGACCGAUCUGCUCUCUUUUGAAGUUCUGUUACUUUGCUGUAUUUUCUCAGAAUUUACUUUCGCUUUCCUCUUAACCGGGUAUUUCCUUUCCGUGCAAAUAAAUCCAAGUCGUCUCCAGUAACAUUUUGAAACUUAAUAUUUUUAAGAAAUUGUCACCAAGGUUGAAAUUUGGCUAAAAUUCGCACUCCCAACAAGGCAGUUUUAACUUCCGGUUGAGUGCACCUUCAUGAUUCAUUAGUUUUUUAAAUCAUUUCUUCAAGUAAAUCUAAAACAUUUAAAUACUUAAAUCGCCCAUUAUUCAUGUCUUUGAACUCAUAAUUUGUGCAGAAUUUGAGAGAUUUUUUGCAAAAACAGAUAAUUUUUUGCAGAAUUUCAUACAAUUUGUUUAUAUCUAUAUAAACAUACAAUUUUGACACGUUGUAACUUUACAUUUGUAAACUUCACAUUACACGGUAAAAAAUCCAAAUCAAUAAUAGAAUUCAAAAUAUCCACUUUAUUAAAACACAUUAAAACCAAACCUAUUUAUAACUCGAAGGAUGGGCGGAAGUGGCAGCGGUGUGAGCAUCCGGUUGUUGCGGAGAAGAUAAAAAUUAUACAAUUGGAAAAAAUUCUCUUAUUUAUUGUCUCUUUUCUCCCUAUUUGCACAAUAACCAAGCAACCACUGCACAAUUGCUCCUCUCUCAUCUCGCUGGAUUUUAGGAACCAUGCCAGGGUUCCCUAUCCAUGUGGUAAUUACAUCGGCUGUGAAUACCUGGAAAAAUGUUAUUCGGUGCGCCAUGAAUUGCCUAAAUUCUAUUAAUCGACCCAAGUAGGAAUUUCCGGAACCCUGAGUGCUGGUUUAUUUGUGUUGCAUCGUCCACCCAGGAAGAUUUAUCUCGCUGCCCACUUUCACCCGAAUCUCACCCUUGCUUUCUCCACGCUAUUCUUGGACCUUUACGACUUCCAACGUUCCCCAGAACACGGAAGAGUUACAAUAAUUCGGAUAAUAUUUAUGGCACAAUAACCGUCGCAUAACUUUAUGUAAGCAGUGAAAGAGAUGCGGAUGUAAUGUAGCAAUUAAUUGAAAGUUGUUACGAAUCCUAUAAUUUCGAAUGUGGUUUAUACAUUUCAAAAGGAUAAUUUAGAUUCGCCGUAAGUAACUUACGGUAAGUUAAUAGGUAAGUAUUAGUUAAAAAAGUUGUAUAUAUAUUUUUAAAUUUUGCACUAAAAUACUUUGGUUUUUCCGAGUCGACAAAUUUCAACAAAUAAUUAUGAAACUGCUGAAGGAACUCUCGUCAACGUUUGUAACCAUCGUAACUGCGUAAGGUUUGUGUAAGAUUAUAAGUUUUUGAAUGUUUAAAUUGCGCUAAAACGGCUACCAAAAAAAUAUCACAUUUAGUAUAAGUUUUGCUAAAUCGCGACGAGUUUUUAUAUUUAUGCAGGAAUCUCCUUCCAUCUCAGUAGUUACUAGAAUUAUAAAACAUUUCGUUUUUACUAAAAUGAAGUGCAAGUUUGGCAGACAGUGGUGGUGUAAAGUGGUUUUGGUUUGGUUGAAAUCUUAGAAUUAUGCAGUCCAUACAACUAUACAUAGUUCUCAGUCAAUAAAACCUGAUCAAUUGAGAAUCCAACAA